rnacentral:rRNA from 1 species
AUACAGAGGGUGCGAGCGUUAAUCGGAAUUACUGGGCGUAAAGCGCGCGUAGGCGGCUUAUUAAGUCAGAUGUGAAAUCCCCGGGCUCAACCUGGGAACUGCAUCUGAUACUGGUAAGCUAGAGUUUUGGAGAGGGAAGUAGAAUUUCAGGUGUAGCGGUGAAAUGCAUAGAGAUCUGAAGGAAUACCAGUGGCGAAGGCGACUUCCUGGCCAAAAACUGACGCUGAGGUGCGAAAGCGUGGGUAGCAAACGGGAUUAGAUACCCCGGUAGUCC